UACGUAGGGUGCAAGCGUUGUCCGGAAUUAUUGGGCGUAAAGAGCUCGUAGGCGGUCUGUCGCGUCGGAUGUGAAAAUCCAGGGCUCAACCCUGGACCUGCAUUCGAUACGGGCAGACUAGAGUUCGGCAGGGGAGACUGGAAUUCCUGGUGUAGCGGUGAAAUGCGCAGAUAUCAGGAGGAACACCGGUGGCGAAGGCGGUUCUCUGGGCAUGUCCUGACGCUGAGGAGCGAAAGUGUGGGGAGCGAACAGG
rnacentral:rRNA from 1 species